GGGAUGCUUAGGAACUAGCUGAAUGUGGGUUGUAGAUAUUCAAUCACAAUGUUUUUUCGAGUUUGAUACCUUCAUGGAUGC